rnacentral:misc_RNA from 1 species
UCUCCGUAGGUGAACCUGCGGAGGGAUCAUUACAAAGUUCAUGCCCUACCGGGUAGAUCUCCCACCCUAUGUUAUUAUUACUUUGUUGCUUUGGCGGGCCGUUAGGCUCCGGCCCGACUACCGGCCCCGGCUGGUAAGCGCCCGCCAGAGGACCCAAAACCCUGAAUAUUAGUGUCGUCUGAGUACUAUAUAAUAGUUAAAACUUUCAACAACGGAUCUCUUGGUUCUG